rnacentral:lncRNA from 1 species
AUUAACCUUAAAGAUGUUGGUGAAAUUUAGAAGAUACGUGUUGGACGUGACAACAGUGGAAAGGAUCCUAGGUGGAACCUGGAAGAAAUGCGACUUGAGAAGAUGAACACCCAGGAGCUGUUGUGUUUCGCUGUUGAUCCCUGGGUAGCUGAGAAUGAAAACGAUGGAGACCUACGGGAGGACAUGCCCGCCGUGAGAACGAACAGAGCGCCUUGGCCAGGUUGAUGUUUUUUCCAUUGAGGCAGUGGCUCUUGGAGAAUUGGAGAAAAUUUGGAUUAGUCAUGAUGGGACAGGUCCAGUUUUCACAGGAAAUGGCUGGUUUCUUGAGUGCGUUGUUCUUAAAUGUGAAGAGGAAGACGACAACCAGGAGGCACUGUUCCCGUGCAACAGGUGUGCUGUCACCGGUCCCUCACUGCGCGCGGUGAUGCGCCCUUUGUCCAGGACUUCCAGCUGGACACCAGCCUGCCCCUCCAUCUGUCUGGCCACAUUGCACCCUCCUUUAAAACCUGAGUGGAAGGCUUGCACUCCCUAGGAAGCUGCUCCUUAUCAUGUUAGUAAUUCUCUUUUUCUUUGUAACACUUAGUAUUUUUCUCUUCUGGAAUAGGCAUGCUGCAAUGAAAGGAAGCUGAAUUAGGAUUUCAAAAGCAGGUCUUUGAAUCUCACACACUUGCUGUUUCCCACUAGUUCUGCAGACGUGGGUGCUGCUCUCAGCUUCUCUGAGGUUCAGUUUCCUCAUAUGUAAAGUGGGGAUGAUACUUGUUCCUCCUGGUUCAUUGAAUCAUAAAAUCAAAUAAAGGAAUAUAUAGGAACUGUGAACUCUAAGGCAUUAUCCAAAUAAUGGUGCAGAUAUAAGUUAAGAGAAUUAAGUUGCAAGGGUAGCUCUGGAAUUCAUUGACCAUUCAUAGGUGUGUUACUUCAAUUCUCCAAUCCUCAAUUUCAGAAUUUUAUGAUAAGAAUGAUUAAGUAAGACCUACCUACUUUAUAGGGUUGUUAUAAGUAGACUAUCAAUAUAUCCUUAAACAAAGUGCCCUAAAAAUGGAAAUGAUAUAAUUUCCCAUCAUUCUUCAUUAGUCUGCAGAGUAUGUUGAUUCAGUCAUUGUACAAAUAGUAAUUGACCACAAACCAUAGCAGGAAGUGGGACAGUUGAGGAGUUUCAGCGAUUCAGCAAUAUAUGGUCCCUACCUGAAAGGAGUUUAUGGAAUCCCAGGUGAGAGCAGAUGCUCCCAUCCUAAGGGCCAUGACAGAGACGUGUGUGAGAGCCCAGGUGCCAAGGUGGAUGUCUCUGUGAUUGCAUGUUGCUGAAUCCAGAGAACAUGUGCGUUGCAUUGUGUUGAUUCAUUUAUUCCCCAUCAUUUAUUCAAGCAGAACUUUGCACACCUCCUAGGUGUCAGGCAGGAUACCACAUCCUGGAUAUAUAGAGAUAAAAAAAAAAAAAAACCUGUCUUCAAGGAGUUCCCAUUUUAUGAUGAGAGACGGGAGGAAGGAUGUGGUCCUAACAAAGCUGGACAGCUGGGCAGCUGGAUGUGCUCUGAGUUUAGCAGGCAUCUGGGCAUCUUUGACUCCUGAAGUGUUGUACACUUUUUCAGACACGCAGAGAAGCCCCUCAGUGGACUGAGUGGGUUUUACCUUACAAUAGUUCUGAUUCUAGGAAAUACCCAUUCUUCUGAAACUUAUAAGGAGUUGCAUUCUUACUUCUCUGAAGGAGAUGUGUAACCCUUCGCAAUCUUCUGUUUGUUUUCUUACUAUACAUCCAUUUGACAUGCAGGUGCAUCACAGUCGUGAUUGCCAUUUUGUAACAUUCAGGCUCUAGGAAGAGACCUUAUAUUUUUAGUUUAUUCAAGAAAUCUUUUCAUUCCUUAAUGGGGUGUGAAAAGAGCAAAGAUUAAAGUUUUUCAGGGCUGGCUUUGAAUUACAACUCUCACUGAGUAGCGCUAGGAGGCUCCGUUUCUUCUUACAUAAAAUAGCAAUAAUGACACCUAAUUUGGCAAAGUUGUUUGAGGAUUUCACACAAUACACAUAAAUUACCUGCAGAUAUCUUGCAAUGAUUAGAAGCUCCAUGAUGAUAAAUGGUACUGCAGUAGAAACACUUUUAGAUUAAAGAAAUCUUUAGACACAAUGCCAUAUGUGGAAAAGAGGUGAAAAAUUUUAUUUCUAGAUUAUAUGUCAAGUAUUUAGAACUCUCCAAAUAAUUACUUUUAAAACUCUAGGUCUGUACAGUCCAAUACAGUAAGUAGAUUUUGUAAAUGAUCCUCUGAGGACAGGCCCCUGCAAAAAUCACUGCAUUCACUACAAACUUGAUUUGUUGGAAAAUUCUACUGAGACUUUGGAGAGUUUAGAAGCAGGUUUUCCUAGUUUCCCCAGAAUAACGUAGCCAUUUAAACUCAUGCCUCCUUCUACUAAUGAGAAAAGAAAAAGUAUCUGAAAAAGAAAUUAUUUAGGACUUUACUGCAGGGUCAGAUGAAAAUAGAGGGGGUUCUCUUCUGCCGUGGGGCCCUCUUAGGUUUGCAGCCCUGCCCUCUGUGUGCACAGGGUCUGGCACUUACCGCUCCCUGACCCUGUAGAGGCUCCCGGUGAAGCGAGAACUCUACGAAGCAACUCAUCCCAGCCUCACCCGCGGCCUCAGAGGGGCUCCAUGACACUUCUGUUCCACAGGUGAGGAAGCUGAGACGCCCAGAGGUCAGAUUUCUUACCUAAACACGAACAGGGUUCAGGGCCGGGGGGUCUGACUCUUGAACUGAACUGUCCCAUUGGGGAUUAAAAGCUCGUGUCUGUUGAGCUCCUGAACUGCCCCUGUCCCAAAUCAAGGUGUGAGGAGGUGUAAAAGGCAUGUGCCAGCUGCCAGAGACGAGGAGUCAGUAAGACUGUGGUUGUGGAAGUCCAUUCGGGCUGCUGUAACAGCACCCGGCAGUCCG